GAUGAACGCUGGCGGCGUGCCUAAUACAUGCAAGUCGAGCGAACAGACGAGGAGCUUGCUCCUCUGACGUUAGCGGCGGACGGGUGAGUAACACGUGGAUAACCUACCUAUAAGACUGGGAUAACUUCGGGAAACCGGAGCUAAUACCGGAUAAUAUAUUGAACCGCAUGGUUCAAUAGUGAAAGACGGUUUUGCUGUCACUUAUAGAUGGAUCCGCGCCGCAUUAGCUAGUUGGUAAGGUAACGGCUUACCAAGGCAACGAUGCGUAGCCGACCUGAGAGGGAGACGGGCCACGGGGGAACUGGGACAGGGUCAAGACCCAGAGGGGGGGAAACAGUAGGGACUCUUCCGCAAGGGGCGAAAGCUGGACGGAGCAACGCGGCGUGAGUGAUAAAGGUCUUCGAAUCGAAAAACUUUUUUAUGGGGGAAAAAAAAAUGGGAAAGUAAAUAUGCACGUCUGGAGGGUACCUAAUAAGAAAGCCACGGCUAACCAGGUG
rnacentral:rRNA from 1 species